UGCAGGACACAGCCUAGCAUAGGGACUUG
rnacentral:piRNA from 1 species